UAUCCCCUGUGUGCCUUUAAGGCGUGCGUAGCGAAGCUAACGCGCUAAGUUGACCGCCUGGGGAGUACGGCCGCAAGGUUAAAACUCAAAUGAAUUGACGGGGGCCCGCACAAGCGGUGGAGCAUGUGGUUUAAUUCGAUGCAACGCGAAGAACCUUACCAUCCCUUGACAUCCUUGAAAUAAAGUGGAGACAUUUUAGUGCCUUCGGGAAUCAAGUGACAGGUGCUGCAUGGCU
rnacentral:rRNA from 1 species